rnacentral:rRNA from 1 species
UGAGGAACAUGACCUUCGGCGGGGGAUAGCCGGCCCAACGGCCGGGUAAUACCGCGUACGACCACAUGGGGACAUCCCUGAGUGGUGAAAGCAGCAAUGCGCCGAUGGAGUGCCUCGCGGCCUAUCAGCUAGUUGGUGAGGUAACGGCUCACCAAGGCGACGACGGGUAGCUGGUCUGAGAGGGUGACCCGGCCACACGUGGGACUGAGACACGGCCCAGACCUCCGUACGGGAGCAG